rnacentral:rRNA from 1 species
AACGAACGCUGGCGGCAGGCUUAACACAUGCAAGUCGAGCGCCCCGCAAGGGGAGCGGCAGACGGGUGAGUAACGCGUGGGAAUCUACCCAUCUCUACGGAAUAACGCAUGGAAACGUGUGCUAAUACCGUAUACGUCCUUCGGGAGAAAGAUUUAUCGGAGAUGGAUGAGCCCGCGUUGGAUUAGCUAGUUGGUGGGGUAAAGGCCUACCAAGGCGACGAUCCAUAGCUGGUCUGAGAGGAUGAUCAGCCACACUGGGACUGAGACACGGCCCAGACUCCUACGGGAGGCAGCAGUGGGGAAUAUUGGACAAUGGGCGCAAGCCUGAUCCAGCCAUGCCGCGUGAGUGAUGAAGGCCCUAGGGUUGUAAAGCUCUUUCACCGGAGAAGAUAAUGACGGUAUCCGGGAGAAUAAGCCCCGGCUAACUCCGUGCCAGCCGCCGCAGUAAGAC